AACCUUAAAAGAAUUCUUAAGAAAUUUUAAAGAAAUAUUAAAAUAAUCACAAAUAUAUCUUAAAUAAAUAUCAACCAAUUCCUAAUUUAAUCCUAAUUAAAAUCCAAAUAGACUUCAAUAAAAUCCUAGGCCAAAUUCCAAAUCCUAAAUAAAUUCUAAAUCCUAAAUUCUAAAUCCUAAAAAAAUCUUAAAUCCUAAGCAAAUCCUAAAUCCUAAAUCCUAAAUCUUAAAAAAAUCCUAAAUCCUAAGCAAAUUCUAAAUCCUAAAUCGUAAGCAAAUCCUAAAUUCUAAAUCCUAAAUCAAAUCCUAAAU
rnacentral:lncRNA from 1 species